rnacentral:rRNA from 1 species
UACGGGGGGGGGCAAGCGUUGUUCGGAAUUACUGGGCGUAAAGGGCUCGUAGGCGGCCAACUAAGUCGGAUGUGAAAUCCCCAGGCUACCUAGGUGGAACUGCAUCCGAUACUGGAUGGCUUGAAUCCGGGAGAGGGAUGCAGAAUUCCAGGUGUAGCGGUGAAAUGCGUAGAUAUCUGGAGGAAUACCGGUGGCGAAGGCGGCAUCCUGGACCGGCAUUGACGCUGAUGAGCGAAAGCUAGGGGAGCAAACGGG